rnacentral:rRNA from 1 species
UACGUAGGGUGCGAGCGUUAAUCGGAAUUACUGGGCGUAAAGCGUGCGUAGGUGGUUUGUUAAGUCUGAUGUGAAAGCCCUGGGCUCAACCUGGGAAUUGCAUUGGAUACUGGCAGGCUAGAGUGCGGUAGAGGAUGGCGGAAUUCCCGGUGUAGCAGUGAAAUGCGUAGAGAUCGGGAGGAACAUCUGUGGCGAAGGCGGCCAUCUGGACCAGCACUGACACUGAGGCACGAAAGCGUGGGGAGCCAAACAGG